rnacentral:tRNA from 1 species
CGUCCCGUAGCUCAGUGGUGAGAGCGUCCGCCUGAUACGCGGCAGGUCCCAGGUUCAAGCCCUGGCGGGACGA